CUCCACCUGAUUUCCCUGAUGCUGGUCUAUCUUCCCUUCCUUCUUUCAAUCCUGAUCUCCCUACUCCUGUGUUACCUCCUUCCCAUCCUCUUCCCACACCUAGAAAGUCCACUAGACAGCAUAAUCCUCCUUCCUAUCUUAAGGAUUAUGUCUGUCCCUGAUGCUGGUCUAUCUUCCCUUCCUUCUUUCAAUCCUGAUCUCCCUACUCCUGUGUUACCUCCUUCCCAUCCUCUUCCCACACCUAGAAAGUCUACUAGACAGCAUAAUCCUCCUUCCUACCUUAAGGAUUAUGUCUGUCAACUACCUGCCUUUUCUGGUUCCUCUUCUUCCACUUUGGAAUCUGAACCUAUGUAUUACUCUCAAGCUNN
rnacentral:lncRNA from 1 species